AUUGAACGCUGGCGGCAGGCCUAACACAUGCAAGUCGAACGAGUGGCGGACGGGUGAGUAAUUUCUGGGAAACUGCCCGAUGGAGGGGGAUAACUACUGGAAACAGUAGCUAAUACCGCAUACCAUCGGAUGUGCCCAGAUUGGAUUAGCUAGUAGGUGGAGUAAUGGCUCACCUAGGUGACUAUCCCUAGCUGGUCUGAGAGGAUGACCAGCCACACUUGACAUGAGACACGGUCCAGACUUCUACGUGAGGCAGCAGUGGGGAAUAUUGCACUAUGGGCGCACGCCUGAUGCAGCCAUGCCGCGUGUAUGAAGAAGGCCUUCGGGUUGUAAAGUACUUUCAGCGAGGAGGCGUUACUCGCAGAAGAACCACCGGCUAACUCCGUGCCAGCAGCCGCGGUAAUUC
rnacentral:rRNA from 1 species